GGGAGGAAAAAUAAUCGAUCUCACUUCAUAAAUGGAGGAGAAACAAUAAGGCACUGUCAUGCUAAAUGUGAAUAAAAAAUCUAUUUCAACCAUUUUAUUCAAAUAAUUAAUGAGAAAUCAGAUAGAUUCCAAAGACAUAGUUUUAUUCACAAAGUGGAAACACAAUUCAUGAUUAAUACAAAAUUUUCAUAAAUCAUACCAAAU
rnacentral:misc_RNA from 1 species